AUGGAGUUGCUUAUUUGCAUGUCUGCUUUGAACCCCACCAAUUCAUUUGCUUCUUAUGAUGCACUCAAGGCAAUGAAACUUGCUGAAUUCUACCCCCAGGACAUAUCAAGCAUGGAUUUGGUAAGGCUUGAAUUCCAACUUGAUACUUUUAUUGAUGAUAUGAGACAAGAUGAUAGGUUAAGAUAUGUGCGUAAUAUUGGUGAACUCUCUGUUAUGCUUGUCGGUACAAACAAACAUGUUCUCUAUGAUUUGGUCUACAUGCUUAUCAAAUUGGUAUUGAUCUUACCGGUGGCCACAGCGAGUGUUGAAAGAGUAUUUUCGGCAAUGAAUCUAGUGAAAAAUAAGUUGAGAAAUAGUAUGAGUGAUGAUCUCAUGAACAACUGUUUAGUAACAUUCAUUGAGCGAGACGUGUUCUUGAAAGUAAGCGAGGAAGACAUAGUUGAAGAUUUCAUGGCAAAGGAACGUCGUAGAGUUACUUAG
rnacentral:rRNA from 1 species